UACGAAGGGGGCUAGCGUUGCUCGGAAUCACUGGGCGUAAAGGGCGCGUAGGCGGAUCGUUAAGUCAGAGGUGAAAGCCCAGGGCUCAACCCUGGAAUUGCCUUUGAUACUGGCGAUCUUGAGUACGGGAGAGGUGUGUGGAACUCCGGGUGUAGAGGUGAAAUUCGUAGAUAUUCGGAAGAACACCAGUGGCGAAGGCGACACACUGGCCCGUUACUGACGCUGAGGCGCGAAAGCGUGGGGAGCAAACAGG
rnacentral:rRNA from 1 species